rnacentral:rRNA from 1 species
UCUGAGACAGGUGCUGCAUGGCUGUCGUCAGCUCGUGUUGUGAAAUGUUGGGUUAAGUCCCGCAACGAGCGCAACCCUUAUCCUUUGUUGCCAGCGGUUAGGCCGGGAACUCAAAGGAGACUGCCAGUGAUAAACUGGAGGAAGGUGGGGAUGACGUCAAGUCAUCAUGGCCCUUACGAGUAGGGCUACACACGUGCUACAAUGGCGCAUACAAAGAGAAGCGACCUCGCGAGAGCAAGCGGACCUCAUAAAGUGCGUCGUAGUCCGGAUUGGAGUCUGCAACUCGACUCCAUGAAGUCGGAAUCGCUAGUAAUCGUAGAUCAGAAUG